rnacentral:rRNA from 1 species
UACGUAGGUGGCAAGCGUUGUCCGGAUUUAUUGGGCGUAAAGCGCGCGCAGGCGGUCCUUUAAGUCUGAUGUGAAAUCUUACGGCUCAACCGCAAGCGGUCAUUGGAAACUGGGAGGCUUGAGUGCAGAAGAGGAGAGUGGAAUUCCACGUGUAGCGGUGAAAUGCGUAGAGAUGUGGAGGAACACCAGUGGCGAAGGCGACUUUCUGGUCUGUAACUGACGCUGAUGUGCGAAAGCGUGGGGAUCAAACAGG